UGAUUUGCAUUUCCCCGACGAUGAGUGAUGUUGAGCAUCUUUUCAUGUGUCUGUUAGCCACCUGUAUGUCUUCUUUGGAAAAAUGUCUAUUCAUGUCUUCUGCUCAUUUUUUAAAAAAAUAUUUAAUUUUGAAAAAGAGAGAGAGAGAGAGAGAGUAGGGAAGGGGCAGAGAGAGAGGGAGACAGAGUAUCUGAAGCGGACAUCGUGCUGACAGCAGAGAGCCCAAUACAGGGCUCAAACUCACAAACUGCAAGAUCAUGACCUAAGCCGAAGUCAGGCUUUUAACUGACUGAACCACCCAGGCACCCCAUCCUCUGCCCAUUUUUUAAUUGGAUUGUUUUUUGGAUGUUGAGUUUGAGAAGUUCUUUACAGAUCUUGGAUACUAACCCCUUACCAGGCUUCAUGGAUUAUCUGAUUAAAAGAAAGGGGAAGAGAGAAGAAAGGCUUCUGAAAAAAGUGUGUCAGCUAAAAGGGAUCCCUAGUCACACUUUUGAGAACUGCUAGCCAAAAGAUUUUCUUUUCUAAAGUGCUAUGAACCCAAGGAGCCUGCAGUGUUCUCCGAUAAAAUGAAGAUAAAACACCAAGAUUCCUGAUUUUAUGGUUUUUCAUAAAAUAUUAUAAUGAAAAAUCACUUUAUUUUAACAUUUAUUUAUUUAUGAAAGACAGAGAGAGAGAGACAGAGCGUGAGCAGGAAAGGGGCAAAGAGAGAGGGAAACACAUAAUCCGAAGCAGGCUCCAGGCUCUGAGCUAUCAGUACAGAGCCCAACACAGGGCUCCAACUCAGGAAAGGCAAGAUCACGACCUGAGCCUAAGUUGGAUGCUCAACCGACUGAGCCGCCCAGAUCCCCCUGAAAAGUCAUUUUAAAAAUCCUCACUUUAGGGGUGACUGGGUAGCUCAGUCGGUGAGGUAUAUGACUCUUGAUUUCGGCUGAGGUCAUGUUUUCACUGUUGACAAGAUUGAACCCUGUGCUGGGCUCUGUGCUGACAGCAUGGGGCUUGCUUGGGAUUCUCUCUCUCCCUAUCUCUGCCACUCCCCAGCUCACGCUCUCUCUCUCAAAAUAAAUAAAUAAACAUUUUUUAAAAAAAUCCUCACUUUAGGGGUGCUUGGGUGGCUUAGUCAAUUAAGCAUCUGACUCUUGAUUUCAGCUCAGGUCAUGAUCCUGGGUCAUGGGAUCCUGCGUCAGUCCUGCGUCAGGCUCCACACUAAGCUUCAUGAAGCCUGCUUGGGAUUCUCUCUCUCACUCUCUCUCCUUUGCCCCUCUUCCCCACUAACAUGCUUGCAUUCUCUCUAAAAUUAAAAAUUUUUUUUAAAUCCUCACCUUAUGUACCUGUAUACUAGAAAAUAAUUCCUUUGAAAAGUUAGAAAAAGUUAACUGAAAAUAUAUAGUAGGCCCUCACUAACCAUUCUUUUGAAGGUCAAACACAUUUUAUAAUGUAUGGAAAAUUCUGACAAGUUGCUGUGCUGACAGCAAAACACUUAAGAAGCCAAAACUACAAAAACAAAUUAAUCUGAAACUAAGUAGAUUCACAGCACACUGCACCCUUUAAAAGGUCCAGUGCUCACUACAAUGCAAAUCUAUGUCUUUAUCCUUAAACUUGAUCCAACUUUGUUAAUCACAAAAGAUUUUUCAACUAGAAUUCAUUUGAAAAUCAAAGCCUAAAACCUAUGAAAACUAUAAUAAGUACUUUUACAUAUGUAAGAUACUAAUAAACUGGACUUAGACAUAAAAGUUAGCUUAGUUGCUAUUUGAAAACAUAUAUACAGAAACACGGGUCUGAUUUUAUAGGCUCUUUUAGGAGUAUGUAUAAUAGGCCAUGAGAGGCAUAUAAUUCAUUAUGAUAUUAAAUUGUAUGAUAGGUUAAAUACACCAAGUAAGCAACUACAAAUUUUCCUUUAAACUAUAGUACAUGUCCUCUCUUCUGGAUAAAUGCUUUCUACUACAAGUCUUAAUGUGCCAUAUUUUAUAGCUCUAGUAAUUUCUUCCUAAUGAAAAGUUCUGUCCCUUGAUCUGCACCCGUUCUCAGCACUACAACAUUACCAUGCUUGUUUCUGAAAUAUGUGAGACAGUCAACAUUAAUCAAAGUGAAAGGAGACAGAGAACAUUUUAGUAUUUGAUAAAUAUAAAAAUACUCUAUGUAUCUCUGUAAGAUGGAAAAUCCAAUAUUAAUAGAAAAUUAGAAAGAAUUUUCACCUUAAAAUGAGGGAAAAUAAGAAAUAAAGGAAAAUAAUAAGAGAGCAUAUCAACAAGGCAGCUGUCCUAUAAUUACACUUAGAAGUGUUCUGAAAAAGUAGGCUAGAGGCCAAGUAUGUUAAAUCACACAAGAAAUCUAUCAGUGAGAAAAAAAUAAGGCAUGUUCUGAAAGCCUCACAGCUAACAUAAAAUGGAUUUGUGGUAUGUUAUAAAAUACUAAUAGGCACCCUGUGAAAAGUACUUCAAAGUCUUUAUUCUGGCAGGUUUAUGCUUUAAUAUCUGGACACAGUUUAAUUUUGUUGUGUAAUGUCAAAAUAUACACUAGGCUAAGCAUUCAUAUAAAUAGAGGACAGGAUUCUUAACUCUGACUCUCAUUCUGAGAAAUUUGACAAAUUACACUUUUUACUUUCAAUAUUACUCCAUUAAGAUUGUUUGAAAAGUUAGGUCUAAAUCAGUCAAAUUUUUAUAAUAGAAGACACUGAUUCACUAUCUAUACAUUUAAAAUGGCUUUUAAUUACUUCCAACUGAUCUUCAAUUGGCAGCAGCUUUUGUUAUUCAUACAUUUGUACAUUCAUUCAACAAUUACUUAUUGAGCACCUAUGAUCUACUGGGGAUACAGCAACAAACAAAAUGAACAAAAAUUCCUUUCAUUUUCUUAUUCUUUAAGGUUUCUUGGCUCCUCCUUGGCUGUACCAAAACCUUAAUUGUUUCCCAAAUCCAGCCAGUCUU